CAGGUUAAUAUUCCUGUACUUGGUGUUACUGCGAAGGGGGGACGGAGAAGGCUAUGUUGGCCGGGCGACGGUUGUCCCGGUUUAAGCGUGUAGGCUGGUUUUCCAGGCAAAUCCGGAAAACUAAGGCUGAGGCGUGAUGACGAGGCACUACGGUGCUGAAGCAACAAAUGCCCUGCUUCCAGGAAAAGCCUCUAAGCAUCAGGUAACAUCAAAUCGUACCCCAAACCGACACAGGUGGUCAGGUAGAGAAUACCAAGGCGCUUGAGAGAACUCGGGUGAAGGAACUAGGCAAAAUGGUGCCGUAACUUCGGGAGAAGGCACGCUGAUAUGUAGGUGAAGUCCCUCGCGGAUGGAGCUGAAAUCAGUCGAAGAUACCAGCUGGCUGCAACUGUUUAUUAAAAACACAGCACUGUGCAAACACGAAAGUGGACGUAUACGGUGUGACGCCUGCCCGGUGCCGGAAGGUUAAUUGAUGGGGU
rnacentral:rRNA from 1 species